rnacentral:misc_RNA from 1 species
GAUGAAGAACGUAGCGAAAUGCGAUAAGUAAUGUGAAUUGCAGAAUUCAGUGAAUCAUCGAAUCUUUGAACGCACAUUGCGCCCCUUGGUAUUCCGAGGGGCAUGCCUGUUCGAGCGUCAUUAUAACCCUCAAGCUCAGCUUGGUGUUGGGGCCUGCUGCACUGUCAGCCCUUAAAAUCAGUGGCGGCGCCAUCUGGCUCUAAGCGUAGUAAUUCUUCUCGCUAUGGAGUCCUGGUGGAUGCUUGCCAUCAACCCCCAAUUUUUCUAUGGUUGACCUCGGAUCAGGUAGGGAUACCCGCUGAACUUAAGCAUAUCAAUAAGCGGAGGA